UUCGCUUUCUUGGUCAAAAUCAAAAUCAAAACUAUCAAAAAUAUCUUGUCCUGUCAGUGUUUUUAUUUCUUUUUAAUAAUUGGCUACACUGGUAAUCAGUUUUUGAGUUGGGCCGUUUCUGGAAAAGAAACGUUUCUGUUACGUUAACAAAACAGAACACCUGAUGACCUGAAGUACAGGGUACAGUACCUCAAGUACCUGAAGAAAUCACUGAAAUCAGUAAUGUAAUCACAUCUACUAAUCUAGGAUAGCUGAUUUAGGUCAGCGGAAUUUGGUUUCUGAUUCAUGAUUGCUAAUUAAUUGGUCUUUUGCUGAGGUAAUUGUGUAAUAUUUUUACUAUUUGUCAAUCAUCAAUCAAUAAUUUGAAAACUUGACCAAAGUAAGUAUAGAAGAAACGCUUCCAGAAUCUUCAACAAUACAAAUAUGUAUGUAUGUACAUCUACAUAAAUAACGAAGGAAUCCAUCGGAGACAAGAACCAGAAUCGAUCGUGAGUAUAAGUCAAGUUGAUAUGCGAAAACCGUCAACCGAAAACGUAGAUGUAUCUACCUACAAGAUACUAUUUUAAACCAAGUUUCCAAUGAAUGGGCAGAUUUCAUUGACUACACAAUUCUUCACCGCCUCGCCAAAAUGUUCCAAACGUUGCUUUUGAUCGGGUUAUCAUAACAAGAAUAAUGUGGCAAAAUAAACUACCAGAUCGUGUUUUAUUAUUUUGUUGGCGAAUACUGAAUUCGAACCUUUCCAGAGGAGCAAGAUAAGAUCUGCACGGUGUUUUUUAUUUGUGAACGUGGCUUGCUGUGUAUCUAUAUAACUACCUAGCUUGUGAACUCUCAUAUAUAUUCAGCAUAAUCGCUUAAUCGCCAGGUUCGACCGUACAAAACUUUCAAGUCCAACUCCAGAGUCUAGACUUGACUCAGCCAUCACCAGUGAAACGAGUCCUUGUUUAUGAGAUGAGUUAUGAGUUCAGUGACACCUUAUAUUUUGCGCCAAGUUUUCUGAUGGGCUCAUUCUCCUGAAGAAUGUUCGUUCUGUUUCGAAGAACAAAGCUGAUUAUGAAUUAGAAUUAUGGUUGAAGAAAAAACGUGAAGUGAAUCGAGUCAGUCAGCAGAGAAGAAGUACCUAAUGUGCAAGAUUAUUGUGGAAUAAUUUUGAAUAGCUACAAUUAUUCUGCAAGGAGGAUAGGAAGAAGUUCAGCUCAAAAGUUCUGAAAAUCACCGAAGACUAAUUUUUCGUGAAACAUAAUGUUGAAUAUCGAGAUCUGAAUUCUGAAUUGGUGAUAUUUUGGCGUCUUCGAGAAUUUUUCCCUAUACAAAGAAUUGGCAAUGAAAACAAAUGCAUAAUUUGAAAUUUGCUCUCUGCGAAGUGAAUGAAAAUAUUUGAGGCAUCCAUCGCUCGUCCUCGCUGCAUCGUUCCAACUGUAUCGGAUGAACAGAUGAAAAAUUGGAAGCUAAAUGAGACCAUGAGAUAUCUGCGCGUGGCACUAUUGAAAGCUGGAACAACAGUAAAUCUGCUAAGGAUUUGGUCAGGAAGAACUUCAACCGUGUCAUCGUAUGCAUCUUCUCGUAAAAUAGAAUGAAUAGAUGAAAAAUUGGAAGCUAAAUGAGACCAUGAGAUACUGCGAGUAGCACUAUUGAAAGCUGGAACAACAGUAAAUCUGCUGAGGAUUUGGUCAGGAAGAACUACAACCAUGUCAUCGUAUGUACCUAUCUUUUCGUAAAAUAGGUGAGUUUUG